CCACCUCAGCCUCGCUUCUCGCAUCUUCUCAUCCACCGGGGCCACCCCCACCUUCUCUCGAAUAACUUCAUUCUUAAUCUUAUCUAGCCUGGUGAGACCGCAUAUCCACCUAAGCAUCCUCAUCUCCGCAACCUUCAUUCUCUGAACAUGAGAGCUCUUCAUGGUCCAGCACUCCGCCCCAUACAACAUCGCAGGUCUAACCACGGCUCUAUAGAAUUUCCCCUUGAGUUUGUGUGGAACUUUCUUGUCACACAGGACUCCUGAU
rnacentral:lncRNA from 1 species